UAUCCUUUCAAUUCUGUGUUUCCAUGUGAGAUAGUGAUAACUGGUGGCUGAGUUAGAGUGUAUUUGUUGUUUCAGAGAUUAGUGACAUUCAAGGAUGUGGCUGUGAACUUCACUCGGGAGGAAUGGGGGCAACUGGAUCCUUCUCAGAGGGACUUGUACAGGGAUGUGAUGUUGGAGAACUAUGGGAACCUUGUGUCCAUUGGUAAGGAUAGCUUUCCCCUGACUGAGAACCUUUCAUUUUUAUUUCCUGAAAGUCUUUUGUGUGUCUAAAGUGCUUGCCCAAGUUAAAAUAUUUAGUAAUAUUCAAGAAUACAUGGAUCCUGGGAUAACUUCUAAAUCCAUUAUGACUGAGAGUGUUUCUUCCUCCUAUUUCCAGAUGAAAUAGCUUUGCUCCACACAGCUAAAGAUUAGCAACAACUUCACUGUGCUGGGCCCUGAGGCUACACCUUACUUGCUUUCUGUUUGCCCAGGCCAGAGAUCCUUUAAUAUUCUAGGAUGGAUCCUAGUCUCUUGGCGUAGAGAAGGUCAGAUGAAAUUUCUUUCUGAACUUCCGUUAACUCUGACAAUCUCCCUAUACUUUCUGGGAAACAAAUAUAGAGAAACCUUCAGAGGUUUUUUUGAUAUUAUGCUCAUAUGUACUCUUUUCCCUUAAGAGAAAGGAUGUCAGGUUUGCAUUCUGAGAUGGCUGUCUGUCCACAACAUUUUCCCACUUCUACCCCAUGAGCAGGACUUCCAGUUUCUAAACCAGAUGUGAUCUCCCAGUUGGAAAGAGGAAAUGCACCUUGGAUGUCAGAGGAAGAAUUCUCAAGAAGCACUCGUCUAGAUUCUCUUAGUCAAGAGCCUAGGUGUGAAAUCCAGAAGUCAUCUCCAAUGAAGGGCUCUUGUACAGGAGUAUCAUCUAAGAAAAUACUCACAAAAGAUGUCCCCUGGGAUUCCAAGGUGGGAGAAGCUUGGGAAUGUGAUAUCAGGUUAGAAAGGCAGAAGGGCAACCAGGAGCAACAAGUCAGACAAAUAACAAUCACUCACAGAAAAGCCUUGAAUAAACUGAGAAUGCACAAAUAUAAUACAUUCCAGAAAAGUUUCAGGUCCAAGUCCAGCUUUGUUCCAAAACAGAGAUCCUACAGGGAAAAGCCCUCAUAAAUUUGGUAUACUUCAACAGAGAUUCAAACAGUUUUCAGACCUAACUAAACAUAAUAGGUGCUUUUCAGGGAAAAACCUUUGUAAGUCUACUAAAUACAGAAAGACCUUCAACUACCACAUAGGUUUUAUUCAACUUCAUGACAAUAAAUCAUAUGAAUGUAAAGAAUGUGGAAAAGCC
rnacentral:lncRNA from 1 species